rnacentral:rRNA from 1 species
GACAGCAGUAGCCACGGUAAUACGAAGGGUGCAAGCGUUACUCGGAAUUACUGGGCGUAAAGCGUGCGUAGGUGGUGGUUUAAGUCCGUUGUGAAAGCCCUGGGCUCAACCUGGGAAUUGCAGUGGAUACUGGGUCACUAGAGUGUGGUAGAGGAUAGUGGAAUUUCCGGUGUAGCAGUGAAAUGCGUAGAGAUCGGAAGGAACAUCUGUGGCGAAGGCGACUAUCUGGGCCAACACUGACACUGAGGCACGAAAGCGUGGGGAGCAAACAGGAUUAGAGACCCCUGUAGUCCCUGUCUCUUAUAA